CUCAGCAGGAGACAAACGAGCAUUUGGGAAAUGUGUGAAUGAUUGAGUGAAGACUGUAAUAGCUAUCUUUAGACUAGGGUCUUCUGGUUUACAUUUGUAUUAAGAGGUAUGCAAAGCAAGAAAGCUUGAAUGGUUUGGAAAUGGGGAGCUGGUGAUAUCGGUGUGUCAAGCGCAAAUCUCAUAGACCUUUACGUUUGCACAGCACUUUACAGUUUGCAGAAACUGUACACUUAGAUGUACAUGCUUGCUAAAGGCAGACAUUUCUUGUCUGGAUUCUAGCUGUGUCACCAUGCUGGCACAGUAUGUGGCCUGUACAAAAUCUGAAGAAGUAUUUUGUUGAAUAAAUUAGUUCAGUCGAUUCUCGUAGCAUUCUGUGGAUUUAGACACAGCAAGUUUUAGCUUACCUUCGACAGGCUCAAAGAGGACAAUUAUUUACCUAAGGUCACAUGGCUGGUUGAUACAGGCUUGAGGCCUCUCCUUUACACUGUGCUUUAUCUUGACCCAAAUAAUAGAAAUGGAAAAGCCACAUUUUGGUCAAGUAAGUUUCAGUAGACCAGAGUGGGAGAGUGGUUGUGACCUCAGGCACUUUCAGAAAUAAUAGUAGCAUGCUUGAUUUGUAACAGGGAAAAAUCUUAAGCUAAUAUCUCUUGAUGGUGCUUUUAUAGUUUAGUGGAAGAAAAGAAAAAUAAUUGAUUCAUUCCUAGACAGUUAGAUAUUUAUCAACUGUCUACUCUGUGCCAGGCGUAUUUGUGUUCACAGAGGUUAUAACAAGGAACAAAGGCAGUGUAAGCCUUGCCCUCGGAGCACCUACCAUCUCAUAGGGGAGACAGACCACAAGUAGGUUAGGGCCAAAUUGCAGAGCCCAUGGCAUUUCGUAAGAACUUUGUUACAUUCUGGGGGUUUCCAGAAUACAUGGGAUACCACAGUUCUUAUAAAGGAGGGCCUAUAUAUCCAUAUGCACAUUAAGCACUAUCUGUAGAUUUAAUAAUUAAUAUCACUAACAUAGAAAUAGGAGCUUUCUCCCAAAUAUAUGUAGCUGGCUGAUAUUGUGAUUCAUCAACCAAAAAUUCACUUAAAGUGUUACUAAGUUAAUAGUAUCCUUUUUUGUGUGUGUAUGUGAGGAAGAUUGGCCCUGAGCUAACAUCUGUUGCCAAUCCUCCUCUUUUUGCUUGAAGGAGAUUGCCGUCGAGCUAACAUCUGUGCCAGUCUUCCUCUAUUUUUGUAUGUGGGAUGCCACCACGGCAUGGCUCGAUGAGCAGUAUCUAGGUCUGCACCCAGAAUCUGAACCUCUGAACCCCAGGCCACCAAAGCAGAGUGCGUGAACUUAACCACUACACCACCGGGUUGGCCCCUAAAUUAAUAGUAUCUUUUUGAUCAUUGUAUAUUUUCUUCAUCAACAGAUAUUAAGAGGAAAAUAUCUAUUGCCUGAGGUCUGCAAAAUUUUUGAUAGAAAAAUAAUAUUUAGAAAUAGUGC
rnacentral:lncRNA from 1 species